CAGCAGCCGCGGUAAUACGUAGGGGGCAAGCGUUGUCCGGAAUUAUUGGGCGUAAAGCGCGCGCAGGCGGUUUUUUAAGUCUGGUGUCUAAGUGCGGGGCUCAACCCCGUGACGCACUGGAAACUGGGAGACUUGAGUGCAGAAGAGGAGAGCGGAAUUCCACGUGUAGCGGUGAAAUGCGUAGAGAUGUGGAGGAACACCAGUGGCGAAGGCGGCUCUCUGGACUGUAACUGACGCUCAGGCGCGAAAGCGUGGGGAGCAAACAGGAUUAGAUACCCGCGUAGUCCCUGUCUCUUAUACA
rnacentral:rRNA from 1 species